rnacentral:rRNA from 1 species
CCUACGGGAGGCAGCAGUGGGGAAUAUUGCACAAUGGGCGAAAGCCUGAUGCAGCAACGCCGCGUGAAGGAAGCAGGGUUUCGGCUCGUAAACUUCUAUUAACAGGGACGAAAGAAAUGACGGUACCUGAAUAAGAAGCCCCGGAUAACUACGUGCCAGCAGCCGCGGUAAUACGUAGGGGGCAAGCGUUAUCCGGAUUUAUUGGGUUUAAAGGGUGCGUAGGCGGGUUAUCAAGUCAGCGGUAAAAUCGUGGAGCUCAACUCCAUCCAGACGUUGAAACUGAUGAUCUUGAGUGGGCGAGAAGGAUGCGGAAUGCGUGGUGUAGCGGUGAAAUGCAUAGAUAUCACGCAGAACUCCGAUUGCGAAGGCAGCAUACCGGCGCCCGACUGACGCUGAAGCACGAAAGCGUGGGUAUCGAACAGGAUUAGAUACCCGAGUAGUC